rnacentral:rRNA from 1 species
UGGGGAAUAUUGCACAAUGGGCGCAAGCCUGAUGCAGCCAUGCCGCGUGUGUGAAGAAGGCCUUCGGGUUGUAAAGCACUUUCAGCGGGGAGGAAGGCGUUAAGGUUAAUAACCUUGGCGAUUGACGUUACCCGCAGAAGAAGCACCGGCUAACUCCGUGCCAGCAGCCGCGGUAAUACGGAGGGUGCAAGCGUUAAUCGGAAUUACUGGGCGUAAAGCGCACGCAGGCGGUCUGUCAAGUCGGAUGUGAAAUCCCCGGGCUCAACCUGGGAACUGCAUUCGAAACUGGCAGGCUAGAGUCUUGUAGAGGGGGGUAGGAUUCCAGGUGUAGCGGUGAAAUGCGUAGAGCUCUGGAGGAGUACCGGUGGCGAAGGCGGCCCCCUGGACAAAGACUGACGCUCAGGUGCGAAAGCGUGGGGAGCAAACAGG